GAUGAGUAUACUGGCGGAUGGGUGAGUAACACGUAGGUAAUCUGCCCUUAGGACAGGGAUAACAUUGCUAACGCGAUGCUAAUACCUGAUGAAGCAACUGUUGAAUCAGAUGGUUGUUAAAGGCUGGCUUUCAGCUAGCGCCUGAGGAUGAGCCUGCGUCUCAUUAGCUAGUUGGUAGGGUAAUGGCCUACCAAGGCGACGAUGGGUAGCCGGCCUGAGAGGGUGAGCGGCCACACUGGGACUGAGAUACGGCCCAGACUCCUACGGGAGGCAGCAGUGAGGAAUAUUGCGCAAUGGCCGAAAGGUUGACGCAGCGACGCCGCGUGAGGGAUGAAGCUUUUAGGAGUGUAAACCUCUGUUAGGAGGGAAGAAUAAUGGCAAUUCGAACAGGGUUGUCAGAUGACGGUACCUCCAGAGGAAGCCCCGGCUAACUCCGUGCCAGCAGCCGCGGUAAUACGGGGGGGGCUAGCGUUGUCCGGAAUUACUGGGCGUAAAGGGCGCGUAGGCGGGAUAGCAAGUCAGUGGUGCAAACUUGAGGCUUAACUUCAAGCUUGCCAUUGAUACUGUUAUUCUUGAGUUCGGCAGAGGGAAGUGGAAUUCCUGGUGUAGCGGUGAAAUGCGUAGAUAUCAGGAAGAACACCGGUGGCGAAGGCGGCUUCCUGGUCCGAUACUGACGCUGAGGCGCGAAAGCGUGGGGAGCGAACAGGAUUAGAUACCCUGGUAGUCCACGCUGUAAACGAUGGGUACUAGGUGUUGGUUGUAAUGAUCAGCGCCGGAGCAAACGCAUUAAGUACCCCGCCUGGGGAAUACGGUCGCAAGACUGAAACUCAAAGGAAUUGACGGGGGCCCGCACAAGCGGUGGAGCAUGUGGUUUAAUUCGAUGCAACGCGAAGAACCUUACCUGGGCUUGAACUGCAGGUGCUAUCUCCUGAAAGGGAGUUUCCUUCGGGACGCCUGUAGAGGUGCUGCAUGGCUGUCGUCAGCUCGUGCUGUGAGGUGUUGGGUUAAGUCCCGCAACGAGCGCAACCUCUGUCCCUAGUUGCCAUCAGGUCAAGCUGGGAACUCUAGGGGGACUGCCCCGGAUAACGGGGAGGAAGGUGGGGAUGACGUCAAGUCAUCAUGGCCACUUACGUCCAGGGCUACACACGUGCUACAAUGGCCGGUACAACGGGUAGCGAGAC
rnacentral:rRNA from 1 species